GUGCGCUUGGUGAAUGGUGCAAACGACCACGAGGGAAGAGUUGAAAUACUGCAUGACCGACAAUGGGGUUCAAUCUGUGAUGACGGAUUUAAUAAUACUGAGGCUCAGGUUGUCUGUCGCAGCUUAGGAUUCCAGAGUGUCAAUGCAAAAUUCUAUCAGCUCGCUCACUUCGGACAAAGCACAGGGCCGAUCUGGCUUGAUAAUGUUACCUGUACGGGCAGCGAACAAAACCUGGACCAGUGUUCUUUCCCUGGCUGGGGAAUACACGACUGUGUACACAGAGAAGACGUCGGUGUAAGAUGUCAGGUAUCUGUACGAUUAGUUAACGGAUCAGGAAUACGAACACAAGGCAGAGUUGAGAUUCGGAUCAACGGGACAUGGGGCACUGUCUGCGAUGAUGGAUUUGAUUACAGGGAUGCUGCAGUCAUCUGUGCUAUGAUGGGAUUCAAUCGGUAAAAGCAGUUACCAAACUUCUGCAUCUAAUUUCACGUGGUGGACUCAUUUUUCGUAAAUGCAUUUGAACAUAAAAACACACAUUGAUAUUGAUUCGUCUUACAUUUUUUUGAAGUUAGAAGAUAUAUUUCGUAAAACCAUGCAGAUACCAUAUUUCAGAAAAAAGGAAAGCAAAUUAACAAAAGAUGGCUGCCGCAUUUUGGCCAAAAUCCCACAAUUCAGCAAAAUUAUCAUUAUUUACUAGCAACACGACUUAAGGACACGAAAUUUGGCUUAGUUUGUUCGAUUUACAAUUUUGUGUUAGCUGAUACAUAACGUUUUAAUAUUUAUAUUAUAAUGCCUUUACCAAAAUCAAGGAAAUGAAUGUGGAAAAGGGCAUUUUUCU